CGUCAAAUCAUCAUGCCCCUUAUGUCCAGGGCUACACACGUACUACAAUGGCCGGUAACAAAGCGAAGCAAGGCGGCGACGCGGAGCAAAUCGCAAAACCCGGUCUCAGUUCGGAUUGUAGGCUGCAACUCGCCUACAUGAAGUCGGAAUUGCUAGUAAUCGCGGAUCAGCAUGCCGCGGUGAAUACGUUCCCGGGCCUU
rnacentral:rRNA from 1 species